rnacentral:ncRNA from 2 species
UCGGCUCUUCCUAUCAUUGUG